GCAGCAGUAGGGAUCUUCCGCAAUGGACGAAAGUCUGACGGAGCAACGCCGCGUGAGUGAUGAAGGCUUUCGGGUCGUAAAACUCUGUUGUUAGGGAAGAACAAGUGCUAGUUGAAUAAGCUGGCACCUUGACGGUACCUAACCAGAAAGCCACGGCUAACUACGUGCCAGCAGCCGCGGUAAUACGUAGGUGGCAAGCGUUAUCCGGAAUUAUUGGGCGUAAAGCGCGCGCAGGUGGUUUCUUAAGUCUGAUGUGAAAGCCCACGGCUCAACCGUGGAGGGUCAUUGGAAACUGGGAGACUUGAGUGCAGAAGAGGAAAGUGGAAUUCCAUGUGUAGCGGUGAAAUGCGUAGAGAUAUGGAGGAACACCAGUGGCGAAGGCGACUUUCUGGUCUGUAACUGACACUGAGGCGCGAAAGCGUGGGGAGCAAACAGGAUUAGAUACCCUGGUAGUCCACGCCGUAAACGAUGAGUGCUAAGUGUUAGAGGGUUUCCGCCCUUUAGUGCUGAAGUUAACGCAUUAAGCACUCCGCCUGGGGAGUACGGCCGCAAGGCUGAAACUCAAAGGAAUUGACGGGGCCCCCC
rnacentral:rRNA from 2 species